rnacentral:rRNA from 1 species
UGGGGAAUUUUGGACAAUGGGCGAAGGCCUGAUCCAGCAAUGCCGCGUGUGUGAAGAAGGCCUUCGGGUUGUAAAGCACUUUUGUCCGGAAAGAAAUCCUUGGCUCUAAUACAGUCGGGGGAUGACGGUACCGGAAGAAUAAGCACCGGCUAACUACGUGCCAGCAGCCGCGGUAAUACGUAGGGUGCAAGCGUUAAUCGGAAUUACUGGGCGUAAAGCGUGCGCAGGCGGUUUGCUAAGACCGAUGUGAAAUCCCCGGGCUCAACCUGGGAACUGCAUUGGUGACUGGCAGGCUAGAGUAUGGCAGAGGGGGGUAGAAUUCCACGUGUAGCAGUGAAAUGCGUAGAGAUGUGGAGGAAUACCGAUGGCGAAGGCAGCCCUCUGGGCCAAUACUGACGCUCAUGCACGAAAAGCGUGGGGGAGCAAAACAGGAUUAGAUACCCUGGUAGUCCACGCCCUAAAACGAUGUCAACUAGUUGUUGGGGGAUUCAUUUCCUUAGUAACGUAGCUAACGCGUGAAGUUGACCGCCUGGGGAGUACGGUCGCAAGAUUAAAACUCAAAUGAAUUGACGGGGUCAUAGCUGUUUCCU